UACGGAGGGGGCUAGCGUUGUUCGGAAUUACUGGGCGUAAAGCGCACGUAGGCGGAUCAGAAAGUCAGAGGUGAAAUCCCAGGGCUCAACCUUGGAACUGCCUUUGAAACUCCUGGUCUUGAGUUCGAGAGAGGUGAGUGGAAUUCCGAGUGUAGAGGUGAAAUUCGUAGAUAUUCGGAGGAACACCAGUGGCGAAGGCGGCUCACUGGCUCGAUACUGACGCUGAGGUGCGAAAGCGUGGGGAGCAAACAGG
rnacentral:rRNA from 1 species